UACGGAGGGUGCAAGCGUUAUCCGGAUUCACUGGGUUUAAAGGGUGCGUAGGCGGACAGUUAAGUCAGUGGUGAAAUCUCUGGGCUUAACUCAGAAACUGCCGUUGAUACUAUUUGUCUUGAAUAUCUUGGAGGUAAGCGGAAUAUGUCAUGUAGCGGUGAAAUGCUUAGAUAUGACAUAGAACACCGAUAGCGAAGGCAGCUUCCUGCAGGAAGAUUGACGCUGAGGCACGAAAGCGUGGGGAGCAAACAGG
rnacentral:rRNA from 1 species